UCAGAUUGAACGCUGGCGGCAGGCCUAACACAUGCAAGUCGAACGGCAGCACAGAAGAGCUUGCUCUUUGGGUGGCGAGUGGCGGACGGGUGAGUAAUGUCUGGGAAACUGCCCGAUGGAGGGGGAUAACUACUGGAAACGGUAGCUAAUACCGCAUAACGUCGCAAGACCAAAGUGGGGGACCUUCGGGCCUCACACCAUCGGAUGUGCCCAGAUGGGAUUAGCUAGUAGGUGGGGUAAUGGCUCACCUAGGCGACGAUCCCUAGCUGGUCUGAGAGGAUGACCAGCCACACUGGAACUGAGACACGGUCCAGACUCCUACGGGAGGCAGCAGUGGGGAAUAUUGCACAAUGGGCGCAAGCCUGAUGCAGCCAUGCCGCGUGUAUGAAGAAGGCCUUCGGGUUGUAAAGUACUUUCAGCGGGGAGGAAGGCGGUGAGGUUAAUAACCUUGCCGAUUGACGUUACCCGCAGAAGAAGCACCGGCUAACUCCGUGCCAGCAGCCGCGGUAAUACGGAGGGUGCAAGCGUUAAUCGGAAUUACUGGGCGUAAAGCGCACGCAGGCGGUCUGUUAAGUCAGAUGUGAAAUCCCCGGGCUUAACCUGGGAACUGCAUUUGAAACUGGCAGGCUUGAGUCUCGUAGAGGGGGGUAGAAUUCCAGGUGUAGCGGUGAAAUGCGUAGAGAUCUGGAGGAAUACCGG
rnacentral:rRNA from 1 species